CCUACGGGUGGCAGCAGUGAGGAAUAUUGGUCAAUGGGCGGAAGCCUGAACCAGCCAAGUAGCGUGCGGGAUGAAUGCCCUACGGGUCGUAAACCGCUUUUGCCCGGGGAUAACACCCUCCACUUGUGGCGGUCUGCAGGUACCGUGCGAAUAAGGGCCGGCUAAUUCCGUGCCAGCAGCCGCGGUAAUACGGAAGGCCCGAGCGUUAUCCGGAUUCAUUGGGGUUAAAGGGAGCGUAGGCGGGCGUUCAAGUCAGCGGUAAAAUCGGGGGGCGCAACCGCGCGCCGCAGUUGAAACUGGACGCCUUGAGUUCACAACAGGCAGGCGGAAUGCGUGGUGUAGCGGUGAAAUGCAUAGAUAUCACGAGGAACCCCGAUUGCGAAGGCAACCUGCCGGGGUGCGACUGACGCUGAGGCUCGAAGGUGCGGGUAUCAAACAGGAUUAGAUACCCUAGUAGUC
rnacentral:rRNA from 1 species